UUCUCUCAGUUAUCGCGUAUAAGUUCUUUAAUUUCUCUCAGUGUUAAGUUCUCUAAUUGACAGCGUGUUAAUUUCUCUCUGCGAUUGCGUGUUAAGUUCUCUCAAUGAUCGUGUUUUAAUUUCUCUCAGUAAUUACGUACAAGUUCUCUAAUUUCUCUCAGUGUUAAGUUCUCUCAAUGAUCGCGUCUUAAGUUCUCUCAGUUAUCACGUAUAAGUGCGCUAAGUUCUCUCAGUGUUAAGUUCUCUCAUUGACCGCGUGUUAAUUUGUCUCUGUGAUCGCGUGUUAAAUUCUAAUUAAGUUAUUACCUAAUUUUUCUCAAUUAUCGCAUAUAAGUUCUCUAUGUUCUCUCAUUGUUAAGCUCUCUCAGUGGUCGCGUAUAAGUUUUCUUUGUUCUCUCAGUGUUAAGUUCUCUCAUUGACCGCGUGUUAAUUUGUCUCUGUGAUUGCGUGUUAAGUUCUAACUAAGUUGUAACCUAAUUUCUCUUAAUAAUCGCGUAUAAGUUCAUUAUGUUCUCUCAUUGUUCAGUUUUCUCAGUGGUGGCGUAUAAGUUUUCUUUGUUCUCUCAGUGUUAAGUUCUCUCAGUGAUAGCGUAUAAGUUCUCUAAGUUCUCUCAGUGUUAAGUUCUCUCAAUGAUCGCGUCUUAAGUUCUCUCAGUUAUCGCGUAUAAGUAAGCUAAGUUCUCUCAAUGUUAAGUUCUCUCAUUGACCGCGUGUUAAUUUGUCUCUGUGAUCGCGUGUUAAGUUCUAACUAAGUUGUAACCUAAUUUCUCUCAAUAAUCGUGUAUAAGUUCAUUAUGUUCUCUUAUUGUUCUGUUCUCUCAGUGGUCACGUAUAAGUUUUCUUUAUUCUCUCAGCGUUUAGUUCUCUCAGUGAGCGCGUAUAAGUUCUCUAAGUUCUUUCAGUGUUUAGUUCUCUCAAUGAUCGCGUCAUAAGUUCCCCCAUUAUCGCGUAUAAGUAAGUUAAGUUCUCUUAGUGUUAGGUUUUUCAUUGACCGCGUGUUAAUUUUUCUUUGUGAUCGCGUGUUAAGUUGUAACUAAGUUGUAACCUCAUUUCUCUCAAUAAUCGUGUAUAAGUUCAUUAUGUUCUCUUAUUGUUCAGUUCUCUCAGUGGUCGCGUAUAAGUUUUCUUUGUUCUCUCAGUGUUAAGUUCUCUCAGUGAUCGCGUAUAAGUUCUCUAAGUUCUCUCAGUGUUUAAAUCUCUCAAUGAUCGCGUCUUAAGUUCUCUCAGUUAUCGCGUAUAAGUUUUCUUUGUUCUCUCAGUGUUAAGUUCUCUCAGUUAUCGCGUAUAAGUUCUCAAAGUUCUCUCAGUGUUAAGUUCUGUCAAUGAUCGCGUAGUAAGUUCUCUCAGUUAUCGCGUAUAAGUAAGCUAAGUUCUCUCAGUGUUAAGUUCUCUUAUUGACCGCGUGUUAAUUUGUCUCUGUGAUCGCGUGUUAAAUUCUAACUAAGUUGUAACCUAAUUUCUCUCAAUAAUCGCGUAUAAGUUCAUUAUGUUCUCUCAUUGUUCAGUUCUCUCAGUGGUCGCAUAUAAGUUUUCUUUGUUCUCUCAGUGUUUAGUUCUCUCAGUGAUCGCGUAUAAGUUCUCUAAGUUCUCUCAGUGUUUAAUUCUCUCAAUGAUCAUGUCUUAAGUUCUCUCAGUUAUCGCGUAUAAGUAAGCUAAGUUCACUCAGUGUUAAGUUCUCUCAUUGACCGCGUGUUUAUUUGUCUCUGUGAUCGCGUGUUAAAUUCUAACUAAGUUGUAACCUAAUUUCUCUCAAUAAUCACGUGUAAGUUCAUUAUGUUCUCUUAUUGUUCAGUUCUCUCAGUGGUUGCGUAUAAGUUUUCUUUAUUCUCUCAGUGUUAAGUUCUCUCAGUGAUCGCGUAUAAGCUCUCUAAGUUCUCUCAGUGUUUAGUUCUCUCAA